rnacentral:rRNA from 1 species
GAAGAGCCCAAAUCCCGAUAACUUAGUUCUCGGGAGGUUGUAGGACUGCAAUAUGAAAGUACAAACGAAGCAGAAUCUUCUGGAAAGUUGAACCAAAGAAGGUGAUAGUCCUGUAAGCGUAAGAAUGUACGAUCUAGCAGUAUCCUGAGUAGCGCGGGACCGGAGAAAUCCUGUGUGAAUCUGCCAGCACCAUCUGGUAAGGCUAAAUACUCCUUGGAGACCGAUAGCGAACAAGUACUGUGAAGGAAAGGUGAAAAGGACCCCAAGAAGGGGAGUGAAAAGACCCUGAAACCAUACGCUUACAAGCGGUCGGAGUUCCGAGCAAUCGGAAUGACGGCGUGCCUUUUGCAUAAUGAGCCUACGAGUUACUCUUCACUAGCAAGUUUAAGCGCUUCAGGCGCGGAGGCGAAGCGAAAGCGAGUCUGAAUAGGGCGAUUGAGCUAGUGGAGGUAGACGCGAAACCGAGUGAUCUACCCAUGGGCAGGUUGAAGUCCCGAUAGUCUCGGGAUGGAGGACCGAACCAGUAAACGUUGAAAAGUUUUUGGAUGACCUGUGGGUAG